rnacentral:rRNA from 1 species
UACGUAGGGGGCAAGCGUUGUCCGGAUUUAUUGGGCGUAAAGAGCGUGUAGGCGGCCUGACAGGUCUGCUGUGAAAACUCGAGGCUCAACCUCGAGAUGUCGGCGGAAACCGUCUGGCUAGAGUCCGGAAGAGGAGAGUGGAAUUCCUGGUGUAGCGGUGAAAUGCGCAGAUAUCAGGAAGAACACCUAUGGCGAAGGCAGCUCUCUGGGACGGUACUGACGCUGAGACGCGAAAGCGUGGGAGCAAACAGG